AUGAAGUCCCUUCGGGGACAGGAUGACAGGUGGUGCAUGGUUGUCGUCAGCUCGUGUCGUGAGAUGUUGGGUUAAGUCCCGCAACGAGCGCAACCCUUAUCAUUAGUUGCUAACAUUUAGUUGAGCACUCUAGUGAGACUGCCCGGGUUAACCGGGAGGAAGGUGGGGAUGACGUCAAAUCAUCAUGCCCCUUAUGUCUAGGGCUACACACGUGCUACAAUGGUGGGGACAAAAAGAUGCAAUACCGCAAGGUGGAGCAAAACUCAAAACCCCAUCCCAGUUCGGAUUGUAGGCUGAAACUCGCCUACAUGAAGCCGGAGUUGCUAGUAAUCGCGAAUCAGAAUGUCGCGGUGAAUACGUUCCCGGGUCUUGUAC
rnacentral:rRNA from 1 species